UACGUAGGGGGCUAGCGUUGUCCGGAAUCACUGGGCGUAAAGGGCGCGUAGGCGGACUUGUAAGUCGGGAGUGAAAACUCGGGGCUCAACCCCGAGCCUGCUUCUGAAACUGCGAGUCUUGAGGACCGGAGAGGAAAGUGGAAUUCCUAGUGUAGCGGUGGAAUGCGUAGAUAUUAGGAAGAACACCAGUGGCGAAGGCGACUUUCUGGACGGUUCCUGACGCUGAGGCGCGAAAGCCAGGGGAGCAAACGGG
rnacentral:rRNA from 1 species